rnacentral:rRNA from 1 species
GCAAGUCGAACGGUAACAGGACUAGCUUGCUAGUUGCUGACGAGUGGCGGACGGGUGCGUAACGCGUGGAAAUCUACCUUUGAGACUGGGACAACCUGAGGAAACUCAGGCUAAUACCGGAUGUGGUCUACGGACUAAAGGUUGCCUCUCCUUGGAAGCAGUCGCUCACAGAUGAGUCCGCGUUGGAUUAGCUAGAUGGUGGGGUAAAGGCCUACCAAGACGAUGAUGCAUAGCCGACCUGAGAGGGUGAUC